rnacentral:lncRNA from 1 species
GCCUCUUCAGCUACUACAAUUUGAUCUAUCGUAGUUCAACUUGAAACAUUUCUUUUGCACUGUAAAGUUACAUAAUUUGUGAUUCAUAGUUACAACAAAACAAACACCAAAAAUAUGAAAAUAUUAGUGACUCAAAUUUGACAGGGAUUUCUUGUCAUCAAUUAGUGGAAGUUAGUCUACAAAAGAGAAGAGCUGACAUCA